rnacentral:rRNA from 1 species
CCUACGGGGGGCUGCAGUGGGGAAUCUUGCGCAAUGGGGGCAACCCUGACGCAGCCAUGCCGCGUGAACGAUGAAGGCCUUAGGGUUGUAAAGUUCUUUUACCCGGGACGAUGAUGACGGUAACGGGGGAAUAAGCUCCGGCUAACUUCGUGCCAGCAGCCGCGGUAAUACGAAGGGGGAUAGCGUUGUUCGGAAUUACUGGGCGUAAAGCGCGCGCAGGCGGUUCGAUAAGUUGGGGGUGAAAUCCCCGGGCUCAACCCGGGAAUGGCCUUCAAGCCUGUCGAGCUAGAGGACGAGAGAGGUGAGUGGAAUUCCCAGUGUAGAGGUGAAAUUCGUAGAUAUUGGGAAGAACACCGGUGGCGAAGGCGGCUCACUGGCUCGUUUCUGACGCUGAGGCGCGAAAGCGUGGGGAGCAAACAGGAUUAGAUACCCUGGUAGUC